rnacentral:lncRNA from 1 species
GAAGGAAAACACCUUCGCAUCCACAUAAGGAAGGCUCAAUACCUUACCAACCAUUCCAAUGCACACAAGAUAAAAGGAAGCAUAUAUCCACAUAUAGCACCAGGAUUUACUAGGUACGACAAGUAGACUUAUCCUCCACUAUCAUGGUUGUCAAUCACAUACUCAGGUACCUCCCAACACUCAUUCAUGCUCCAAUCUCAACCACAAGUCAAACCUAACCAUAAACACAACUAUUAAUCUCAUACUUUGAUUAUCAUCACAUUGCAUAGCUGCCCCA